GACGAACGCUGGCGGCGUGCUUAACACAUGCAAGUCGAACGGAAAGGCCCUGCUUUUGUGGGGUGCUCGAGUGGCGAACGGGUGAGUAACACGUGAGUAACCUGCCCUUGACUUUGGGAUAACUUCAGGAAACUGGGGCUAAUACCGGAUAGGAGCUCCUGCUGCAUGGUGGGGGUUGGAAAGUUUCGGCGGUUGGGGAUGGACUCGCGGCUUAUCAGCUUGUUGGUGGGGUAGUGGCUUACCAAGGCUUUGACGGGUAGCCGGCCUGAGAGGGUGACCGGCCACAUUGGGACUGAGAUACGGCCCAGACUCCUACGGGAGGCAGCAGUGGGGAAUAUUGCACAAUGGGCGGAAGCCUGAUGCAGCAACGCCGCGUGCGGGAUGACGGCCUUCGAGUUGUAAACCGCUUUCGCCUGUGACGAAGCGUGAGUGACGGUAAUGGGGAAAGAAGCACCGGCUAACUACGU
rnacentral:rRNA from 1 species